rnacentral:siRNA from 1 species
UGUCUGUGCGUGCAUUGAUUG